AUACAGAGGGUGCAAACGUUGUUCGGAAUCACUGGGCGUAAAGCGCGCGCAGGCGGGCUGAUAAGUUGGAUGUGAAAGCCUACGGCUCAACCGUAGAACUGCAUCCAAAACUGUCAGUCUAGAGUGUGGGAGAGGAAGAUGGAAUUAGUUGUGUAGGGGUAAAAUCCGUAGAGAUAACUAGGAAUACCAAAAGCGAAGGCAAUCUUCUGGAACACUACUGACGCUGAGGCGCGAAGGCGUGGGGAGCAAACAGGAUUAGAAACCCUGGUAGUCC
rnacentral:rRNA from 1 species